GCGGACAUGGCGGAAUGGCAGACGCGCUAGAUUCAGGGUCUAGUGGCCGAAAGGCUGUGGAGGUUCAAGUCCUCUUGUCCGCACCA
rnacentral:tRNA from 1 species